rnacentral:misc_RNA from 1 species
GAUGAAGAACGUAGCGAAAUGCGAUACGUAAUGUGAAUUGCAGAAUUCAGUGAAUCAUCGAGUCUUUGAACGCACAUUGCGCCCCCUGGUAUUCCGGGGGGCAUGCCUGUCCGAGCGUCAUUGCUGCCCUCAAGCACGGCUUGUGUGUUGGGCCUCCGUCCUCCUCCCGGGGGACGGGCCCGAAAGGCAGCGGCGGCACCGCGUCCGGUCCUCAAGCGUAUGGGGCUUCGUCACCCGCUCUUGUAGGCCCGGCCGGCGCUUGCCGACACAUCAAUCUUUUUUCCAGGUUGACCUCGGAUCAGGUAGGGAUACCCGCUGAACUUAAGCAUAUCAAUAAGCGGAGGA